rnacentral:rRNA from 1 species
UUGAUCCUGGCUCAGAAUCAACGCUGGCGGCGUGCCUAACACAUGCAAGUCGAGCGCGAAAGGGGGGCAACUCCCAAGUAGAGCGGCGAACGGGUGAGUUACGCGUGGGUUAUCUACCUCCGAAUGGGGAAUAACACCGGGAAACUGGUUCUAAUACCGCAUAACAUCGCAAGAUCAAAGCCGGGGACCGCAAGGCCCGUCGUUUGGAGAGGAGCCCGCGUCCGAUUAGCUAGUUGGCGGGGUAAUGGCUCACCAAGGCGACGAUCGGUAGCCGGCCUGAGAGGGCGGACGGCCACACUUGGACUGAGACACGGCCCAGACUCCUACGGGAGGCAGCAGUGGGGAAUUUUUCGCAAUGGGGGAAACCCUGACGAAGCAACGCCGCGUGGAGGAUGAAGGUCUUCGGGUUGUAAACUCCUGUCGACCGGGACGAAAACUAUCUGACCCAAUACGUCAGGUAGUCGACUGUACCGGUGGAGGAAGCCACGGCUAACUCUGUUCCAGCAGCCGCGGUAAUAAGGU